AACGCACCUUGCGCUCCUUGGUAUUCCGAGGAGCAUGCCUGUUUGAGUGUCAUUAAAUUAUCAACCGCGAAAGGCUUUUUUUGGUCUUUCGGGGCUUGGAGUUGGAGGCUUGCCGGCGUGAGUCGGCUCCUCUUAAAUGUAUCAGCGAAACCUUUUUCGGCUUUGGUGUGAUAAUCACGUUGCGCCGUCGCUUGAAGGCAUAAAGAGUUUCGCUUAUAAUGGUCUUCGGACAAAUAAAACCAUUGAAUUUGACCUCAAAUCAGGUAGGACUACCCGCUGAACUUAA
rnacentral:misc_RNA from 3 species